rnacentral:lncRNA from 1 species
GACUGCUGUAGUUGAGCUUAAUGGGCAGUAGAUUUGGUUAAAAGAUGGCUCCCUAAUUGUUGUUGCAUGGAUCUCUGACCCUUCUAUUCAUAGGCAUAGGCAUGUUCCUUUUCUCAAAGACUUGUUGGCUCGGAGGGCAACUUGAUUUUGUUUUAAGGUGGCUCACAUUUAUGGAGACGCUAACCAGGCUGCAGAUUAUAUGGCAAACAAAGCCUUGCAAAGAGAUAUUAUAUGAUUUGCUGAGUCUAUUAUUGAUUUGCAUGUUUCUUACAUUCUACAGGCUGAUGGGUAUUGUGGUCUUUAUCCAAGGAGGGCAUGAAACAAUCAUGUAUGUUGUUGUCAGUUCAAAGUUCCUUUUAGUAUCAUGACAGGCUCUGCAACUAUGCUAUAUUGUAUCAGUUAUCUGCCUAUUGCUGAUGUUUUUCUUCAUGCACAUAUUCAUGCUUCUAUGGUUGUGGUUUCAUGCUUGGGGUCUCUUUUUAUUCUAAGUAUGCAUCUCAUAGUUUUUCAAUAUUUUAAUGUCACUGCAUAGAUCUCUAGUCAAGUUGGCGGCUAGAAUGGUUUCUUUCUCCUUCAUUUAGUUGGGUCCAGAGCUCAUCGCACUAUCAUUAUUGAUGUAUUGCAUCUUUACAAUAUUAUCAGGAUGUAUUGUUAUUACUGCAUUCCCCUAUACGUUCUGCAUCUCUUCUUUCUUAUAAUACUUGGUUAAUGACACUAGAAGCAAGCUUUUGGCAAUAUUGUUG